rnacentral:rRNA from 1 species
AAUAUUGGUCAAUGGGUGAAAGCCUGAACCAGCCAUGCCGCGUGCAGGAAGACGGCCUUCUGGGUUGUAAACUGCUUUUGUCAGGGAAUAAAACGCCCAUGCGUGGGAGAUUGAAGGUACCUGACGAAUAAGCCACGGCUAACUACGUGCCAGCAGCCGCGGUAAUACGUAGGUGGCGAGCGUUGUCCGGAUUUAUUGGGUUUAAAGGGUGCGUAGGCGGCCUUGUAAGUCAGUUCUGAAAUAUCCCGGCUUAACCGGGAGGGUGGGAUUGAUACUGCUUGGCUUGAGUGGAGUCGAGGUAGGCGGAAUUGACGGUGUAGCGGUGAAAUGCUUAGAUAUCGUCAAGAACACCGAUAGCGUAGGCAGCUUACUAGACUCUAACUGACGCUGAGGCACGAAAGUGUGGGGAUCAAACAGG